rnacentral:tRNA from 1 species
AUUCUUUUAGUAUAAUAAGUAUAUUUAACUUCCAAUUAAAAGGUUUUUUUAAAAAAGAAUA